GAGGGUAUAGCUCAGUGGGAGAGCAUGUGCUUAGCAUGCAUGAGGUCCUGGGUUCAGUCCCCAGUACCUCCA
rnacentral:tRNA from 1 species